rnacentral:rRNA from 1 species
GGAUUAGAUACCCUGGUAGUCCACGCUGUAAACGAUGAUUACUCGUUGUUGGCAAUACAUCGUCAGCGACUGAGCGAAAGCAUUAAGUAAUCCACCUGGGGAGUACGAUCGCAAGAUUGAAACUCAAAGGAAUUGACGGGGGCCCGCACAAGCGGAGGAACAUGUGGUUUAAUUCGAUGAUACGCGAGGAACCUUACCUGGGCUUAAAUGCAAAACGACGGAUCGGGAAACUGAUCUUUCUUCGGACGGCUUGCAAGGUGCUGCAUGGCUGUCGUCAGCUCGUGCCG